GAGGCUGCUGGGAAUUAUCUGCCAGUGUAAUUACAUGUACAUGCUCUAUAGUGCAUACCACAGUGUCACACGUAAUACCUCAUAUAGCAGGAUAUUACAUUGGCAACUAAUGAUAUUUGUGCAGUCUAAAGGAGACUUUUGAUUCUCGCGAAUGCUAAGAAAACUAAUAUAUAAUAGAUAAUCAUAUGUAGUUCUUCAGGCUGCCCAGAUGGGACUCUAGUACAGUGAAUAUAUAAUGGCUUUAGAAGAAGCAAUUCCACCUAUCCAGUACCAUUAAGUAUUGAUGAUGGGAUACACGAGGGAAGAGAAUAGCACAUGAGAGAAGUGUAUAUUGCACCAUUGAAGGUUAAUCCAUACAAUGAGGAAAAGGCCAAUAAUGCUUUCCAACAGAGAAGAGGAGAAGGCUCAAUAACAACAAAAGUGGUGAUUACGUCUGAUGUAUUUAAUCUAGGUUUAAUUAAGGGAUUAUCAAACAUGGAGUCAACCGAUAUUUAUAAUAAAAGGUGAUUAGUGACA